rnacentral:lncRNA from 1 species
UUUGGAGGUGGUGGAAGCUACAAUGAUUUUGGGAAUUACAACAAUCAGUCUUCAAAUUUUGGACCCAUGAAGGGAGGAAAUUUUGGAGGCAGAAGCUCUGGCCCCUAUGGCGGUGGAGGCCAAUACUUUGCAAAACCACGAAACCAAGGUGGCUAUGGCGGUUCCAGCAGCAGCAGUAGCUAUGGCAGUGGCAGAAGAUUUUAAUUAGGAAACAAAGCUUAGCAGGAGAGGAGAGCCAGAGAAGUGACAGGGAAGCUACAGGUUACAACAGAUUUGUGAACUCAGCCAAGCACAGUGGUGGCAGGGCCUAGCUGCUACAAAGAAGACAUGUUUUAGACAAAUACUCAUGUGUAUGGGCAAAAAACUCGAGGACUGUAUUUGUGACUAAUUGUAUAACAGGUUAUUUUAGUUUCUGUUCUGUGGAAAGUGUAAAGCAUUCCAACAAAGGGUUUUAAUGUAGAUUUUUUUUUUUGCACCCCAUGCUGUUGAUUGCUAAAUGUAACAGUCUGAUCGUGACGCUGAAUAAAUGUCUUUUUUUUAAUGUGCUGUGUAAAGUUAGUCUACUCUUAAGCCAUCUUGGUAAAUUUCCCCAACAGUGUGAAGUUAGAAUUCCUUCAGGGUGAUGCCAGGUUCUAUUUGGAAUUUAUAUACAACCUGCUUGGGUGGAGAAGCCAUUGUCUUCGGAAACCUUGGUGUAGUUGAACUGAUAGUUACUGUUGUGACCUGAAGUUCACCAUUAAAAGGGAUUACCCAAGCAAAAUCAUGGAAUGGUUAUAAAAGUGAUUGUUGGCACAUCCUAUGCAAUAUAUCUAAAUUGAAUAAUGGUACCAGAUAAAAUUAUAGAUGGGAAUGAAGCUUGUGUAUCCAUUAUCAUGUGUAAUCAAUAAACGAUUUAAUUCUCUUG